AACGAACGCUGGCGGCAGGCUUAACACAUGCAAGUCGAACGGAUGGGUGUAGCAAUACAUUUCAUCAGUGGCAGACGGGUGAGUAACACGUGGGAACCUUCCUCGUUGUACGGGACAACUCAGGGAAACUUGAGCUAAUACCGUAUAAGUCCGAGAGGAGAAAGAUUUAUCGCAAUGAGACGGGCCCGCGUCGGAUUAGCUAGUUGGUGGGGUAACGGCCUACCAAGGCGACGAUCCGUAGCUGAUCUGAGAGGAUGAUCAGCCACACUGGGACUGAGACACGGCCCAGACUCUACGGGAGGCAGCAGUGGGGAAUCUUGGACAAUGGCGCAAGCCUGAUCCAGCCAUGCCGCGUGAGUGAAGAAGGCC
rnacentral:rRNA from 1 species